rnacentral:lncRNA from 1 species
GCAUUUUCCAGAGGAAGCUGAGGGAGGAGAUUAGAAUUCCUGGAGGCUAAUCCACUGGGCUAUGGAUCUGAUGUUCAGAGUGUAGUGGUCCUCCUGGCUCCAUGCUGUCCUAGUCAAUGAUCGCAACUCCAGUGCCAUCUCAUCCAAGAAGCUUUGCCCACCCACUGCCCUAGCAAGGUGCAUGGCUUCUGUGCUCUCAAACAGACUUGUGCCUCACUGCUUUUUAACAAAGCACUCAUCACUCUGUAAUGCAAUUAUCUAAUGUAAUAAUUGCUAAGAUUCAUGGACCCCGUGCUAGGUGCUGGACAUUCAGGGUUUUCAAGGACUGAGAAUGCACAUAUGGAUAGAACAAAUCUAGAAAUUCAAGCUACUUCUAUUGCUAAACAAGUAUAGAGUUUCAUAUAAAUAUAAUUCAUAAAAGGUAUAAACGGCAAGAGUUUCUACCCAAAGAUUUUGUGAAACACCUGGCAUUCUAGCUACAGCAGCAAAUUAUGGCAUCCCUUAGCCCCUCAGAGACCUCUGUCCUCAGCAGAUGUGACCGCCUUCUUGGAUCUCAGCAGUGCAAGGGUUCAGUGUGCCAGCAUCUCUACAUCUGAGGUCUUGCUGUCUUCUGCAGGCCUUCCAGCUGCUUUGAGAGAGAAGUGACCAAAGUAUUCUCACUUUUGAAGGGAGUGAAAUAAAACCUGGACAAACCAGGUUCUCAAAUUAAAAUUCAUGGAUCUUCCUAUUUUCCCAAGAAGAGCCUGUUUUUUUUCGUAUACUCCAUUGAAGCCAUUGCUGGUGGACAAUUUUCAUAGCAUUUUCUUCUCUUUUGUUUUGAAAGGCAUUGAUUAGUAAGUAGGACAUUUCUGUUCAGCAAUUGCCCUUUGAAGUUUUAUUCAAACACAGAAUUUACUGUAAAACAGACCAGUCUUUAUUCUUUCUUUUAGUGAAAAUUAUAAACUCUUUUUAUAUAUAUAUAUAUAUAUAUAUAUUUUUAUUAUACUUUAAGUUCUAG